AUUGAACGCUGGCGGCAGGCCUAACACAUGCAAGUCGAGCGGAUGAAGUGAGCUUGCUCCUGGAUUCAGCGGCGGACGGGUGAGUAAUGCCUAGGAAUCUGCCUGGUAGUGGGGGAUAACGUCCGGAAACGGGCGCUAGUACCGCAUACGUCCUGAGGGAGAAAGUGGGGGAUCUUCGGACCUCACGCUAUCAGGUGAGCCUAGGUCGGAUUGGCUAGUUGGUGGGGUAAAGGCCUACCAAGGCGACGAUCCGUAACUGGUCUGAGAGGAUGAUCAGCCACACUGGAACUGAGACACGGUCCAGACUCCUACGGGACGCAGCAGUGGGGAAUAUUGGACAGUGGGCGAGAGCCUGAUCCAGCCAUGCCGAGUGUGUGAAGAAGGUCUUCGGAUUGUAAAGCACUUUAUGUUGGGAGGAAGGGCAGUCAGUUAAUACCUUGCUGUUGUGACGUUACCAACAGAAUAAGCACCGGCUAACUACGUG
rnacentral:rRNA from 1 species